UCAAACUUGGUCAUUUAGAGGAAGUAAAAGUCGUAACAAGGUUUCCGUAGGUGAACCUGCGGAAGGAUCAUUACGAGGUUUCUCGCGAACCCCCAUUUCCCACUGUGUGCACCGAUCGAAAUUUGGUGAAGGGGAGGGGAGAACCCUUCCCUUUUCCUUCUUUCCUUUUCCACCCUAGCCUUAACGCUCCGUCUGAUAUAUAUUGUGUAUAUCUACCUGAAAAAUCGAAAAACAACUUUCAACAACGGAUCUCUUGGCUCUCGCAUCGAUGAAGAACGCAGC
rnacentral:misc_RNA from 1 species